rnacentral:sRNA from 1 species
GCUGCGUGAGUCCACCCGAGGGCAGUGCUGGGGCGGGGCAAGCCCCCGCUGGGGUAGCUGUGCCUGCUGGGUCGGGAAUGACCCUUUCCCAGUUCCAGGGUUUCGGGCCCCUCCUCCUCUCACCUCUCUGACCCCUACAGCGUCCCCGCCGGACGUGGAGCCCGGGCUGGAGGUGGGCGCGGGGCUGGCGGAGCGGCUGGCGAGGGUGCUGCGGGAGCCCGCCUUCCUCGCGAGCAGCGGCGCCGCCUGCGGGGCGCUGCUUCUCGGGCUCUGCGCCGCCCUCUACCGGCGCCGGAAACAGCGCAAAGAGCUCAGCCACUACACGGCCUCUUUUGCCUACACACCGGCAGUGUCCUUCCCGCACUCAGAGGGCCUCUCUGGAGCCAGUUCCAGGCCACCCAUGGGCCUUGGCCCCGCCCCCUACCCAUGGCUGGCAGAUUCGUGGCCCCACCCAUCUCGAAGCCCCUCGGCCCAGGAACCCAGGGGAAGCUGCUGCCCUAGCAAUCCUGACCCGGACGACAGAUAUUACAAUGAAGCAGGAAUCUCUCUGUAUCUGGCUCAGACGGCCCGGGGCACGGCCGCCCCUGGCGAGGGUCCUGUCUAUAGCACCAUUGACCCAGCGGCGGAGGAGCUGCAGACCUUCCAUGGAGGCUUCCCCCAACAUCCCUCAGGAGACCUGGGCCCCUGGAGCCAGUACGCUCCUCCAGAGUGGAGCCAGGCGGACAGUGGAGCCAAGGGAGGCAAAGUGAAGCUUCUGGGGAAACCUGUGCAGAUGCCCUCUCUGAACUGGCCAGAAGCCCUGCCCCCACCUCCUCCUUCUUGUGAACUGAGCUGCCUAGAGGGGCCGGAGGAGGAGCUGGAGGGCAGCUCAGAGCCAGAGGAGUGGUGCCCGCCAAUGCCUGAGAGAAGUCACCUGAUGGAACCCAGCUCCAGUGGGGGGUGCCCGGUCACUCCAUCCCUAAGGGAAACCCCCUCUCCCACGCCUUCCUAUGGACAGCAGUCCACAGCCACUCUUACGCCCUCACCUCCUGACCCUCCCCAGCCCCCAACUGACAUGCCCCAUCUCCAUCAGAUGCCCAGGAGGGUGCCUCUUGGGCCGAGUUCCCCUCUCAGUGUAUCCCAGCCCAUGCUGGGCAUCCGUGAAGGGAGGCCUGCUGGCUUGGGUGCUGGCCCUGCAGCCUCACCCCACCUCAGCCCCAGUCCUGCCCCUAGCACAGCCAGCAGUGCCCCAGGCAGAACCUGGCAGGGGAAUGGGGAGAUGACUCCCCCACUUCAAGGACCCCGUGCUCGAUUCCGGAAGAAACCCAAGGCUCUUCCCUACAGGAGGGAGAACAGUCCUGGGGACUUGCCCCCACCACCCUUGCCACCGCCAGAGGAAGAGGCGAGCUGGGCCCUAGAGCUGAGGGCAGCAGGCAGCAUGUCCUCCCUGGAGCGGGAGCGCAGUGGGGAGAGGAAAGCGGUACAGGCUGUGCCCCUGGCAGCCCAGCGGGGGCUCCACCCGGAUGAAGAGGCCUGGCUCCCGUACAGCAGACCAAGCUUCCUGUCCCGCGGCCAGGGCACCAGCACGUGUUCCACGGCCGGCAGCAACUCUUCCAGGGGCUCCAGCAGCUCUAGGGGCUCCCGGGGCCCUGGCCGGAGCCGGAGCCAGAGCCAAAGGCCAGGACAGAAACGCCGAGAGGAACCAAGAUGACCCUUGUUGGGGCAUUGAGAAUAUCAGGAGUGCCAUGGGGAAGGGGAGUAGGGAUGUCUUUUCCCUCCCAGCAGUGAUGAGUGGGGCUAGCUGAAGCCCAUUGGUUUCCACGAUUUCAAUUGGCUGAGAAGGCAGAGAGCUAGCUCCUCCCUUUCUUUCUCUUUCCACCUGAGACUUGUUUAUAAAAAACAAAACAAUAAAAAGAGUCUGACCAGAGCCC